CACCCAACUCCCACAGCUCGAGCUCACUAUAUUCAGCGGCUCCGGUGCGCUCGAAACUUUAUUCACUCCAGAUUCCAACACAGAGACGGACCUGUCGAGCUCUCUAAUCCCCACUGCAAGCUAAGCACUCACUGGAUAGAACACACGGACAACUUUUUACAGAGCUAUUUCCGCCUCUCUAUUUUUGGUUUUCAUUACGGGACUUAAACCUGGGAUUGUACCAUUUAAAAAAGACGCACUUUUUGUUGUUGAAAUAUUUAAAUGUCAUGGUUUUUCAUGUUCAUUGUAUAAAUAAUACUUUUUGGGUAUAGUACUCGAAAUAUUUGAGAACAAGGGAAACUGUUACACAUGUUUUCCAACCUCUGAAGAAGACUUAACAAGUUAUUUGUUCGUGGGGGGUCGAUAACAAGUGCAAUGAUUGCCAAGGUCUUCUGUUGGGAUUGCCUUACUGCUCAACUCGUCUAAGGAGCCAGCCAUGUCCUUUUGUCUGCUCUACUUCUGUCACGGAGAGAGGGCUCGGAGUGGCGGACGCGCACGAAUGUGAAUUACAUUGCAGUCAACUACCCUACUUCAAAGCACUUGAGAUAUCCGCACAGUUCCACAAACAAGUGUUUAGGAGUUGUACCGCGGGCGACUGAACGAGACGACUCACAUGUUCCUCUCCCCAAGGGAUGGUUCUUGAUCAUCCGCGGGCAGGAGCGACUUUGCGGCUCCUACAGCAGGAGACGUUUUCUUGUUUUGGGGGAAAUCGGAAUUAAAGGGAAAUGAGACCUGUACUUUGCUACUUCCUGCUCUGUACAUCGUACCUGCUGAAUGCUGUUGCUGAGGAAGUCCCGCAGGAGUUGAUAGAGAGACUGUCCCACAGCGAAAUCCACAGCAUCAGCGACCUCCAGCGGCUAUUGGACUCCGAGAUAGACGCCCCCGUAGGUGCGGAAAAUGAGGUCAUCGAGGAGACCAAGCCGAUGCAGAAGCAUCAUAAGAACUACUCCCAACAGCAUGGCUACUCAGACCUGAAGAGCUCACAGAUACACAGCCGACGCAAGAGGAGCGUUGAGGAGGCCGUGCCUGCGGUGUGUAAGACGCGGACGGUGAUAUAUGAGAUCCCGCGCAGCCAGGUGGACCCCACGGCUGCCAACUUCCUGAUAUGGCCGCCGUGCGUAGAGGUCAAGAGGUGCACGGGAUGCUGCAACACCAGCAACAUGCGCUGCCACCCCUCACGCAGGCACCACCGCACCGUUAAGGUGGCCAAGGUGGAGUAUGUGCGGAGGAAACCCAAGCUGAAGGAGGUCUUGGUCAGGUUAGAAGACCACCUGGAGUGUGUGUGCCAGUCACAACAUCAUGUGACCGAGCACUCAGACGCAGACACAGACCACCAUACUAGGGCUAAAGGUAGGAAAAGGAAACCUAAAAAGCUAAAGCUCAACAAGGAUUUAUUGGCGACAUAAUAAACUUGAACACAUUAUUCCAAAGUCCGACCGCCGGACCCCCCGGCUCCAACAGUGGACGUAAGGUGAGACCCCAGCAGCAUUGGACUUCAGUGUGGAAGGGGCCAAAGAGAGGAUGCUGCCAUAUUUGGACUGCUGACCUAGCCCCUUCCCUGACCCCACCCUACGCCACCUACCGCCUUUUAAAAACAAAGAUUACUGUAAAGAGAAAAAAAGACAAAAAGUUAUGAAAAUGCCAAAGGUGCUUUUUUCUAUUACCGUAAAAAGUAAUGCAGAAGGUCUCUGCCAAGCGCAGCAGAACCAACCAAUCGAACAAUGACGCGGAUGAGGAUGGUGAAGCCGAUAAAGAGCUGGGCAGAAAAGAGAGGAGGAGGAGGACAAGAUGGGUUGUCGUUUGUUGAGUAAACAGGACAAUUUGACGAUCACAGAGAGAGAUCCAGGAUGGAUCAUUGGAUUAAGCCUCAAUGGGGGAUCUAUCGACUGGAUCCUAAAAGGACACAGAGAGAGAUCCAGGAUGGAUCAUUGGAUUAAUCCUCAAUGGGGGAUCUAUCGACUGGAUCCUAAAAGGACACAGAGAGGGACAAUCAGUGGACUCUUCGGGACGUGUGGAGGCUUGCAUGCUCCUAGCCGUUGGCCUAAGUGACACUUGCCUGGACAGUCAAUGACUGACAGAGAGAGAGGGAGAGAGGGAAAGAGAUGUUGAGAGAAGUUGUAGAGAGGUGUAGAAGGUACUGGUCGUGUUGCUUGUUGUUCCAGAACUCUCUGUACACUGUAGUGGAACUUGUGAACAUUCUGGAACUCAUAAAAUGGUCACCCAUUUAGUCUAUUUUGGAUAAAGAGUUGGGAAAAGUGUUUGGAGUCAUCAGGACCUGUUAUUCCAAUAUGUCUUCUCUGCUUCUCUCUCCUGGGUUCCCCUGUCUGCUCCUAUUGGGAUUGUGCCAGUCACCAUAUACACUACAGAACCAUUCAGAAAGGAAGAUUCAUUCAUUGCUACUAAUAAACUAUUUAUACGUGUGAACGUUUUCCUCUCUCUCUCCCUCCAAGACAUGAUGUUUUCUGUGACAUGUAGGAUUCAUGUUCUGUCUGAUCUUCUGGUAGUGAAUCUUCAUGUCCACAUGUUGUUUGUAGUUGUUCAUGUAGUUGUUACUCAUGUUCAAUGUUGCCUUAUUAUGUGCCAGUAUAUUAUCUGAACAGUCUCUAGUUGUAUGGUCUGGAAAUGGAAGGAAGCGUGAGAAGGAGGAGAUGGGAGGACAGAGUCUGUACAAGUACAGGAAGAUGCUUUAUUUUUGUUAAAAAAAUAUAUUAUGCUUACUUAUAUUCAAGCAGGAAGUAUGUUUGUUAUUUCUUUGUUUGUUGUGGUUGAAUGCUUUUAUUUAAACCAUGGAAACGAUGCAGGAAUGGGGGUGGUGAAGUGUAUCAGGCCCCAGCAAUGCACCCUGUUUGGUGGUGUAGGGUAGGCUUACAUCAGCAGUGCUGUACUGUAUUAUCUAGAGAGAUGGAUAGAGCUAACCUGGUCCCAGAUCAGUUUGUGUUGUCCUGCAAACACAUAUAGUCAUUGGCAAGGCAGCACAAACUGAUCUGAGAUCAGGUUAGUGGAGAGCUGGCUGAGGAAGACUCCGUCUGGGGCACCGUUGGACUGUCUCGUUAAUCCAGUUAUCUAGCCAAAAGUUACACCCAGUAACCAGAGCGUCAUUAUACACAACAGAACGUUCAGCAUGUGUGUGACCACUUUUAACCCACAUCACACUCCUUUGAUAAGAUGGUGGCCAGUCCGCCCCACCAGCACACAAGCUGUUCUUAACGAGUACAAAGUCCAUCUUGAAUGAGAGAGUUUGUGAACAAUUCAACAUGAAUGGUUCCCCAGUUAAUCAAGCAGCCGUCUUCCAUUGACACGUUAACAACGAUGAAGACUGUUCCACUGUUGAUGAGUGAAAGAUUCAAAAAGAAGAUCCCACUGUUUAUGGAGAGAUUGACACCCUAUUUCCCGUACGGUGAAGUGCACUACUUUAGACCAGAGCCACUGGACCAAAAGUAGUGCGCUACACAGGGAAUAGGUUGUCGUUUGGCACACACUGAAUCAAUAGAAAGACCUGGGCACUUUUCCAAAAUGUCUCAGAGUAGGACUGCUGUUCAUCUUAUACAUUAUGAUCUAAACAGCUAAACUGAUCCAAGAUCAGCACUUUAUGAAGUCCUGGGUGAGAGGCAUGUUGAGAGAAAAUAGAUGAGUGAAGAAGCAACAACACUGUAUCUGCAGCUGCUUUGUGUUGUGGUAACGACAUGUUGAACUGUACCAUACAGACUUCCAAGGUGAUUCCAUUGGUGCUUUAGUAGAAAGGACGUCAGAAGAAGUUUCACCACCAUUUUGCAACGCAUUCAUUUAUUCAUUCAUUGUCGAUAGACCAGGGACCAUUCAUUUAUUCAUUCAUUGUCGAUAGACCAGGGACCAUUGCUUACAGUAACUAAACAAACUACAACAACACAAGCUUAUGCCAUUUUUUAUUUGGGCCUCUAUUGGAUAAAAACAGCAAUGAUUAUAAUUUAUAUAUUUAUGUUUUCAAUAAUAAAUACAUUCUGCUUAUCAAACUGUA